AUUGAACGCUGGCGGCAUGCCUUACACAUGCAAGUCGAACGGCAGCACGGGAGCAAUCCUGGUGGCGAGUGGCGAACGGGUGAGUAAUAUAUCGGAACGUGCCCAGUCGUGGGGGAUAACGCAGCGAAAGCUGUGCUAAUACCGCAUACGAUCUAAGGAUGAAAGCGGGGGAUCGCAAGACCUCGCGCGAUUGGAGCGGCCGAUAUCAGAUUAGCUAGUUGGUGGGGUAAAGGCCCACCAAGGCGACGAUCUGUAGCUGGUCUGAGAGGACGACCAGCCACACUGGAACUGAGACACGGUCCAGACUCCUACGGGAGGCAGCAGUGGGGAAUUUUGGACAAUGGGCGCAAGCCUGAUCCAGCAAUGCCGCGUGCAGGAUGAAGGCCUUCGGGUUGUAAACUGCUUUUGUACGGAACGAAACGGUGAGCUCUAAUACAGUUUGCUAAUGACGGUACCGUAAGAAUAAGCACCGGCUAACUACGUGCCAGCCGCCGCCGUAACAC
rnacentral:rRNA from 1 species